GGUACCGUUUGUAAAACAUGCAGUUGCAUUGGAUUUAUUAGUUCUGGUGUUAGUCCUGGUUCCUGACAAAGGUUUUUCUAUUUAAGCUUUGAAUAUCAAUUCCCCAAGUUUAUCAGGCUUUAUCUUGAGACUAUUUGCUAUGAGAAUCAACGUGUUUACACAGCGGGAAAUGCAGAUGUAUUUUCUUAGCUAUAAUCAGCUGGUCAAAAAUUCAGGGAUACAAAUCUUAAACACUUAUCUAUUUUACUACUGCAGUGAAGUUAGCUUUAUAUUGAAGAUUCUGACUUUACUCAUCAAUACCUCAACAGAACAUGCCAGGAAAAUUAUAGAAAUGUAAUUCUAAAUCAGCUGACAAUAGCGAACAAGUUACACCCCUUGUUUUAACAUAUUUACUUUUUGGAGGCAAAAUGUAGCUAAAACAUUGCUCUCCUCUGCUCCAAGGGGUAAGGGACCCAUUUUAAAACAGAAACGCUUACUAUAGCAUGUUAAUGAACAAUGUCAAUAUCAUCUCAACCACAGACAUACCCAGAUAACACAUUUUGGUUCUGGCAACGGUCCCUGAAGGUUGUGGGAACGUUCCCUGAAUGUUGCACCAACGUUCCCUAAAGGUUUAAACAGAUGGUUUUCUUAACGUUCUUAUAACGUUCUCUUUUGGUUUUACAAAGAUAGCGGGGCACGUUCUCUGAAGGUUACACUGUAGGCAACGUUCUCUGAAGGUUAACAAUGUUCCCUAAAGGUUCAAAAUUCUUAACACACACACACAGGAUGGCACAAUUAAAUAUUAACAAUUAAUUCUUAUAUUUAUACCAAUUAUCCCACUGAAGACAUUUUUUUUUUAAAGUAUACUACGUCAUAACUGACUUUAUAUGGGCAAUAAAAAAUAAAAGUUUCAAGUCUUCCAAGACUUAAAAAGAACUGAUGAUAUUGGACAGAGGGAAUGUUAGUGAUGUUCCAACGAAAUUACAGUUAACAAAAAUGACCCUUAAUCCAGUAUAAACUAAUGUAUAGAAUGUAUUAUACAAGUUAAAAUCACAAAUUCUACAGCAAAACGGCAGAGUUAUGUUUUAAUUAAGUGAUAAUGCCCGAGUAGCCGCUGUUUGGAG
rnacentral:lncRNA from 1 species